ACUGCCAGCAGGUGCAGGACCGCGUCUGAUUAAGACAAACAGAGAGAAGUGAAAGUUUGAUCAGAGACAAACUAAAUAACAAUAAAAGUUGAAGUGAUGCUGACAGUGUCUCCAGAUGGAAGAAUCACCGACCUACUGACGAGGGAGAGGAGGAUGAGAGUCUGUGACUUCUUCUGAAGGAGGAGGGGUAUCCUGUUUCUCUGCAUGUCUUCAGUGGAGCAACAGGAGCUGUGUCAAUUAGCAGCCUGUGUACGGAGGCCUCCGAGUGACAAACAAGACGCUGGAGACAAGGUGAUCCCUCCUGGAGGUGUGAGUGCCCAUGUUGAGCAGCCUGUUACCGGCAGGAAAGAUGUCAUUCAUUAUGAAAAAUGCUUAAUGAGAUCCCUCCCGAUACUACCUCCCGAUUCCAAACUAGACUAGCGCCCCUCUGAAUUGUUAAUGGUGAUAUUAAAUAUUUAAGAUAUGAAUAAAGA